GUGCUCGCUUUGGCAGCACACAUACUAAAAUCGGAACGAUACAGACAUUAGCAUGGCCCCUGCCCAAGGAUGACAUACAAAUUCGUGACAUGUUCUAUAUUUUA